UUCGCGACACCACAGGUUACGUGAGACUGUAAAAACGUGGUAUAAACUCCUACAGGAUUAAGUUGUGUGCUUCUGGAGCAGGAUUUAUCUUUGUGUUAUGAGGGUUAGGGCCUGCUAGUCACGCCUUCCCAGCCACAGGAGGCAGGUUCAUGCCACCACUCCAUCCCGUGCGUGAGAUCCCGAACUGCCAGAUGUCUCCAGAAGUUCCCCGGGAAAUUACACGGUUUCUCCUGAGACUGCGAUACAAGUCGACCUGCUUACCUUAACUUGUUUUUCCUCGUUACCUGCGGGGCGACUGGUGGUCUCCGAGGGAGGCGAGCCGGCAGCCGCCCGGGGGACUCUCUCUUCAGGCAGGCAUGGCCACCGCCAGGCUCGACUAUGUUGCUCCGUGGUGGACCUACUGGCUGCACCACUUCCCGCACUUCAACUUCGUUUUCCAGCCGGUGGACAACACUUUCAAACCGGCGGAGGAGAACUACCAGCAGUCAUUGAUUAUUCUGGCAUGUGUCGGCGCCAUCGGUCUGUGCCUGAGCCUGAUGGUUCUGGUGGUGUACUUGCUCUGCAUGUGUUGCUGCCGCAGGGACGUGGACGAAGACACCAAAAAACCACACACCUGCUGCGUCACCUGGGCUGCUGUCAUCACUGGUCUACUCAUCUGUUCAGCUGUAGGAGUGGGUUUCUAUGGCAACAGCCAGACCAACGAUGGCGUGUACCAGUUGACCUACUCGCUCUACAGCGCCAACCGCACCCUGGGCACCAUCAACAAUCUGGCAUCGGGCUCCGUCGGACACAUGGAAACCGGACUCAAGCGACACCUGGAACGGCUGGAUGAGAUCUUUGCAGCGAGAGGAGAUUACCUGCAAGCCUUGCGCUUCAUGCAGCUGAUGGUCAACAACGUCUUACGAGAAUUGACCGCCCUGCCGGACAUCAACAAAGCCAACACUGACUUGGCUUCAAUUGCUGACCAAACAGUCUUCGUGGAGUAUUACAGAUGGCUGACCUAUCUGCUGGUGCUCAUUCUGGAUCUGGUCAUCUGCCUGGCCUUGUGUUUGGGAAUGGCCAAGCAAUCCCGAUGGCUUCUCGUCUUGAUCAUGGUAUUUGUUCUGCUGUCUCUGACCCUGAGCUGGGCUUCACUGGGAGGGGGCACUGCUACCGCUGUGGGCACCAGUGACUUCUGUGUUGCGCCAGAUAAGUUUAUUGUCAACCAAACCAAAGAUUUCCUCCCGGCAGAUGUUGCACGCUAUUAUUUAUUCUGCAGUCCAAAUCUGCCCAAUCCCUUCCAACAGUCUCUGACAAUCUGCCAGCGUUCCGUCACCACAAUGCAGAUCCAGAUCCAGGGCCUGCUGCAGUUCUCGGUGCCGGUCUUCCCCACCGCCGAGAGAGAGCUGCUGGGGAUACAACGGCUGUUGAACUCCACGGAGUUCAGCCUGCAUCAGCUAACAGCCUUGCUCGACUGCCACGGGCUACACAAGGACUACUUGGAUGCCUUAAUAGGUGUGUGCUACGACGGGGUGGAAGGGCUCCUCUACCUCUCUUUGUUCUCUCUGCUGGCAGCCAGCGCACUCUCCGCCAUGCUGUGUACUAUUUUCCGAGUGUGGACACUAAUGGGCAGCAGGGAGAAGGAGUACGACGACAUCGAUGAGGAGGAUCCCUUCAACCCCCAGGCGCGCCGGCUCUCCUACAACCCCAGAAGGUCGGAUAUCCACAGUUUCUGUAGCUAUUCAAGCAGCAUUGGCAGCCAGGCUGGUCUUCAACUGCCCCCGCCGUCUGCCUCUAAUGUCUUGCCUGCCCCUGAGUACAUGAAUCAGUCGAUGCUGUUUGGCGGGAGCCCGCGCUAUGAGAACAUGCCGCUGAUAGGGCGACGAUCGCCGCCUCCCUCGGUGCGUUGGACCUACGGGGCCCUUGUGUCCCAAGUGUGAUGAUUGCAUGCACCACAUCACUGCAUGCAACAGGAACACAGCCUGAGACUGAACAAAAAAACACCAGCUGGUGAUGAAAGACUGCCCUCUACUGGACAUUCCAGAUGGUUUCCGCUAGUGUUCCUGCCAAGUGUAAUGAUUUUAGUCAUGCAUCAGUGCGUCAGUGUAGUGAUGUCAAGAGCUAAAUAAUAGAUAGUCCUUUUUUUUAAGUGCCUGCCGCUCUUACACUGACAGGCACAGAGUGAUAUGGUGUGUAAACAUGAGGUUUCCUGCUGAAUUUGCUUUGAAUGCUACAACAAUCACAGUGCUUUAACAUUAACUCUUGUGUUGUAACUGACCUUUUUGUCUUUGUUUUUAUUUAUUAACUCAAGACUUUCAAAAACCGUAAGUCGUCUUUCGUUGCCCUUUUUUUUCCGUUCAAGCCCUUUAUGUACUCUAAUAUAAUGACCAAGGAUGUGCUGUGUGACAUACUGUUGGAUGAUACUAACAUUAUUCACCCAGUAUGAAGACUGCCUAUCUUUCUAUGAGCGAGGCCCAGAUCAGGCACUUUGGGACUGACUUCCAGGUGUAGCCGUCGGAACAGAAGCCUGACUCACGCUGCCUUUUCUUCACCCUUUCUCAUGGAAGGAGGAGGUUUCAAGACAAUAAAUAUUUUCAUACUGCAGCCGGAUGAGUGGUGAAUUUCUCUGCAUGUUGUGGACUAUGUAGUAAAACAUCAGAUGAGCAGGAAAUUACAAUUAUUGUUUUUUUUAACACUGUGUUGAAUCUGACAUGUGUGAAGCCAGAUCUUCUCAACAGUUAUCUUGUACAAAACUUCGGAUCUUCAAGCUACAGUCAUCACUCAUGUUUUGUCCAUAAAGCGUUUGCUUUGUUCGUGGUGUUAUUUACAACUGCGGACCAACCUUUUGUCAGUAGAUGCCAAACAUGAGCUGUCACUAACCUACCUCAACUCCAUCCCGACUAGAUUUUGGCUUCUAUUUAUUCAGUUAUCCUUGUCUUCCCACUUCUCAAAGCAUCUCAAUGUUUUAUAGACCAGAGUUGCAGACAAUGAUGGACUGACAGAUCAGACAUAAAUCUCCAUGUUACUUUAAACUUCCUUACGCCGUACCUCAUAUUUCUCCUCGAGCGUCUCUCCUACAUGUUGCCUGAAUGACUUCAUUGCUUACUGCUACUAUAAUGUCAAGCAUUUCAAUAAAAAAAAUGGGAAACACUUGUUGAAUGUGUCAUAUAUAAUGUUAUGAUGUUAAAACACAUUCAGCUUAAUUUAAUUCAUUUUAAUUUCCAUUCAAAUGUUUGCACUUGUUUUUCAUCUGUUAUUCGAAGAAGUAUACACUAUUUUGUCAGCAUUUCCUUCGCCU